CCUCAGAAAGCCAAUCUCAGUUCGGAUUGUAGGCUGCAACUCGCCUACAUGAAGUUGGAAUCGCUAGUAAUCGCGAAUCAGAAUGUCGCGGUGAAUACGUUCCCGGGUCUUGUACACACCGCCCGUCACACCACGAGAGUUUACAACACCCGAAGUCAGUGGCCUAACCGCAAGGAGGGAGCUGCCUAAGGUGGGGUAGAUGAUUGGGGUGAAGUCGUAACAAGGUAUC
rnacentral:rRNA from 1 species